AUUGAACGCUGGCGGCAGGCCUAACACAUGCAAGUCGAACGAGUGGCGGACGGGUGAGUAAUGUCUGGGAAACUGCCUGAUGGAGGGGGAUAACUACUGGAAACGGUAGCUAAUACCGCAUACCAUCGGAUGUGCCCAGAUGGGAUUAGCUAGUAGGUGGGGUAAAGGCUCACCUAGGCGACGAUCCCUAGCUGGUCUGAGAGGAUGACCGGCCAACCGGGAACGGAGACACGGUCCAGCUCCCUCCGGAAGCAACCAUUGGGGAAUAUGGCACAAUGGGCGAAAGCCGGUGGCAGCCAUGCCGGGUGAAUGAAGAAGGCCUUCGGUUUGUAAAGUCCUUCCAGCGGGGAGGCGUUACCCGCAGAAGAAGCACCGGCUAACUCCGUGCCAGCAGCCGCGGUAAUUC
rnacentral:rRNA from 1 species